rnacentral:misc_RNA from 1 species
CAGUUAUAGCAACCCCGGACCGCUAAGGCGGACCCCGGGGCAUACCUAUACCACCCUUUGUUUAUCACACCUCUGUUGCUUUGGCAGGCCUGUCUCCGGACUGCCGGCUCCGGCCGGCGAGCGCCUGCCAGAGGACCUAAACUCUGUUUGUCUAUACUGUCUGAGUACUAUAUAAUAGUUA